GGAGCGAUGGUAGAGCGGUUGAAUACACCAGUCUUGAAAACUGGCAGCCCUUCGCGGGGCUCGAGAGUUCGAAUCUCUCUCGCUCCGCCA
rnacentral:tRNA from 2 species